AACUGAUACUACCUGCGGGAACCUGCGGAGGGAUCAUUAGUGAACGCCCUCACGGGCUUAUAACUAUUCCAAACCUCUGUGGACCGUGCCCUUCGGGGCUAUUUUACAAACAUGGUGUAAUGAACGUCAUAUAUCAUAACAAAACAAAACUUUUAACAAUGGAUCUCU
rnacentral:misc_RNA from 1 species